CGGAGCUCCGCCCCCCGGCUGGUGCUCGCUGGCCGGUAGGCAGGCGCGGGGCUGUCAGGAGCUGCUGAGCGUGGAUUGCUGCUUCUGCCGCCCCGCUUCCCUCCGGCCGUGAGGAGAGACUGCGGCGGCCAUGAAGAUCUGGAGCUCGGAGCAUGUGUUCGGGCACCCCUGGGAUACAGUGAUCAAAGCUGCUAUGAGAAAAUACCCCAACCCAAUGAAUCCGUGUGUGGUAGGAGUGGAUGUCCUUGACAGAACCCUUGAUAACCAGGGGAGGUUGCAUAGCCAUCGUCUCCUCAGCACAGAGUGGGGAUUGCCGAGUAUUGUAAAAGCGAUUUUAGGAACAAGUAGAACUCUGACUUACAUUGAGGAACAUUCUGUGGUAGAUCCAGUGGAAAAAAAGAUGGAGCUUUGCUCAACUAAUAUUACUCUCACAAACUUAGUGUCUGUUGAUGAGAGACUGGUUUACAGGCCGCAUCCUGAGAACCCUGAAAAAACUGUGCUAACUCAAGAAGCAAUUAUUACUGUUAAAGGCAUUAGCUUGAGCAGUUAUCUGGAAAGCUUAAUGGCAAACACAAUAUCUUCCAAUGCCAGAAAGGGUCGGGAUGCCCUGGAAUGGGUGAUCAGCAAACUAAACACAGAAUUGGAGGAGCUGAAGUCAACACGUGAGGGGAUGAAACCAGCCAUGGCAGCAGCAUCAACAGAAAAAUGAAACCAAAAAUUCCAGGGAAGUGACAGAAGAGUCUUAUUCUCCAGACUGCUUUGUAGAUCUCCCUGCCAAGGCUGAUCUGCACAAGUUUUAUAUAUUUAUAAGAAUUUUGGAUCAGCGGAAAAGUAACCUCAUCUGUCAUCUCCACAGCAGCUCCUGUUGCCUACUGUUGACCUCCUGCAGAUGCUCUUUUUAUUUAAACCAUUUAUUUUUAACACUGGAAACAAAACAUUUAGCACAUUUGAAACUGCCUAAAUGUGCCUUUUCUAACAAAAUUCAGAAAAACUUAGAGCUUAAAGACUGACAGCAGCUCCUUUCCAGAAGACACACUGGAUAGCUUUGGUGCAGGUCAGUUGCUGACUGCUUCCCAGAGGAGUGAUGCCACUUCCUGGAUAAGGAAUGCAGAAGGUGUUCUAGCUCCUGGUGGCAUUCAGCUGGGAAGGGGAGUGCAGCUAUGGCUGAGCUCUACAAACGAAAGGAAAAGAUGAGGAGUGUAACCACCACCACCCUCCACAGCUGGAUGCCUAUUUUAAAUGCCUAGACCAAAGUUGGGCCUUGGCCUCUACCUGUCCUGUAAGAGGGGCCAUGAGCAUGCAGCCUCUCUGUUGGCACCUGCUUCCUCCCAGCCUUGGAAGCCAGUCCCCUGCAGAAAUUGCACCAGUUCAUGCCUAUGUCCUUCAAUUCAACAGCCCCCUAAAAUCCAAUCUGACAAGCCCAUUCUGCAUUGUUUGGCAUGCAGCCUCUCCUUGCAUUACUGGGUCUUUUCCACCUAUGAACAAGCCUGGCACCUAAAAAGACUGUCUAUCUGCUUUAAAAUGUGUUUUUGAUUCUAUCAGCCUGAAAAAAGGUAUGUUCCAAAUGGCUUUCUCUAGACUUGUUCUGCUUUGCAGACUGCAGCAGCUUGUGUUGUCUUUUCAGGCCGCAGAGCCCUGGCUGCCUGCAUCAGCUCAGCUCAGCCUGGCACUGCCAAUGAAGAACAACCUCACCAAGAACAAACUGAAGUCACUGAAUUGCAGUCGAGUGCAAAUACACAAAGCCAUCACCACAUACAAUUUGCUGUGUCUAUUUUGUAACUAUUUAGCUCCAUCUCCUGGUGAUGCCCUGUGACAUGGGUUAAGUGCAGACUACUGUAGUAAAAUUCAUCUAUCUCUUCAGCAGCGGCUCUCAAAACGCUUUAAACGGUUGUACCCACAUUGUCACCCAUUUUCGAAGAUGGGGACCUGGGGCACAGAAAAUCUCACUGCUUGUGCCAGCUCUGGGCUGCUGGAGCUCGUGGUGCCACUUGAUGCCCACUCUUUGCACACAGGAGCUGGCACCAGCUCUCCCAGCAGGAGUGCACUGGGGUGCUGGGCUCCGUGGAGCUGCCAUGAGGACAGUGCUCAUGAACUUACACGUGUGUGUCACGAAAUGGGUUGUAUUUUGUUCAAGGCCAGGCUGGACAGAGGCUUGGGCAACAUGGUCUAAGGUGAGGCAUUCCUGCCCAUGGCAGGGGGGUUGGAACUGGAUCAUCUUAAGGUCCUUUCCAACCCUAACUAUUCUAUGACCCUAUGAUAUCAGCCUGAGCUAACACCCCUCUCUCAUGCUCUCCUACCAGGAACUUCUGGUGAAGAGCAGGUACCCCACAAAAUCUGAAACACAGGAGUAAAAAUCAGACAGAAACAACCAAACAGAUCUUUAUAGCUGGAGUCGAUAAACAUUCUCAGAUUGGCCUUAAGAUACAUACAUACAAAAGAAGAAAUAAACCAGAGCAGCUCCAGGUUGUCAACAUGGAAACACUGUAAGAUUCUACAGUAACAUUAACAUAAUCCAUACGCCGUAGCACCGGAGCGUGUGGUCGCAGCACCGUUCCCCCAUGCCUGUGUGCUGUCAUUGUAUCACCGGCGAGACUGAGCUCAUAAGAAAGACAUUCCCAAAAGAUGUACAGAGCUGCUGGGUGAGGUAAAGUGUGAAGGUAGCCAGCAGGAGUCUAAAAGUGGAGCUUCUACAUUAGUUUUAACCUAUAGAGCAUGCAGCCAGUAGCUAACUGUGGAAGUUGAUGCUGAACUUGCCUUGGGGAAACAGGAGAGCUUGAAAGAGAACAACGUAAUAGUUGUGCUAAAAAUGUUCUCUCCACUUCUGGUUUAAGAACUCAGAACAAUCAAAAACUUCUCCAAAAGACUGCGGCAUUUGUCUCCCAGAGAUGAGGGAUGGAGAACUCCUGAAGCCUGUGCUGCAUGCAGGAUGAGCCUCAGCUACACACCGUCAGUGCUGGAAGCAGCAAUACACUGGUAACGGAGGGAGGAGGCUGGGAGCGAUGCGUGGGCGCUAAUGGCAUCACUGGAGUUACACAAGCGGUUUUAUUGCUAUUCUAAGAGUGCUUUGACGUUUCCCUCCCUCCGUGCAGCCCAGCCAGUGCUCUGCUGUUAUUCGAUCAUUCUCAUUAACAAUUCUUUGCCAAAAGCCCUAUCCAACUGAUCUUACAGAACUAUAAAAGCAUGAAAAAGGAAA